CCUACGGGAGGCAGCAGUGAGGAAUAUUGGUCAAUGGACGAGAGUCUGAACCAGCCAAGUAGCGUGAAGGAUGACUGCCCUAUGGGUUGUAAACUUCUUUUAUAUGGGAAUAAAAUGUUCCACGUGUGGGAUUUUGUAUGUACCAUAUGAAUAAGGAUCGGCUAACUCCGUGCCAGCAGCCGCGGUAAUACGGAGGAUCCGAGCGUUAUCCGGAUUUAUUGGGUUUAAAGGGAGCGUAGGUGGAUUGUUAAGUCAGUUGUGAAAGUUUGCGGCUCAACCGUAAAAGUGCAGUUGAAACUGGCAGUCUGGAGUACAGGAGAGGUAGGCGGAAUUCGUGGUGUAGCGGUGAAAUGCUUAGAUAUCACGAAGAACUCCGAUUGCGAAGGCAGCUCACUGGACUGCAACUGACACUGAGGCUCGAAAGUGUGGGUAUCAAACAGGAUUAGAUACCCUGGUAGUC
rnacentral:rRNA from 1 species